CACAUACUUCCUCCGUCCCAAAAUUCUUGUCCUAGAUUUCUCAAGAUAUGAAUGUAUCUAGUCAUAUUUUAGUAUUUAGAUACAUCCAUUUCUAGACAAACCUAAGACAAGAAUUUUGGGACGGAGGGAGUAAUUG
rnacentral:pre_miRNA from 1 species